GCCUUCUUAGCUCAGUCGGUAGAGCAUCAGAGUUUUAAUCUGAUGGUCGUGGUUUCGAGUCGAAGAGAAGGCG
rnacentral:tRNA from 1 species